GUCUAUGGCCAUGCCACCCUGAACAAGUCCGAUCCCGUCUGAUCUCAGAAGCUAAGCAGGGUCGAGCCUGGUUAGUAAUUGGAUGGGAGACCACCUAGUAAGGCCAGGUGCUGUAGGUG
rnacentral:rRNA from 1 species